rnacentral:rRNA from 1 species
GUCUAUAUACGUAUAGCAUAUCAAUAAGCGGAGGAAAAGAAACUAACUAGGAUUCCCUCAGUAACGGCGAGUGAAGCGGGAAGAGCUCAAAUUUGAAGUCUUCAAGGUUUUACCUUGACGAAUUGUAGUUUAAAGAAGUGUUUUCUGUUGGAAUUUUGGUAAAAGUUCUUUGGAAAUAGGACAUCAAUAGAGGGUGAGAAUCCCGUACUUUGACCAUUAUUUCCAGCUUUGUGAUACACUUUCAAAGAGUCGGAUUGUUUGGGAAUGCAGUCCAAAAUGGGUGGUAAAUUUCAUCUAAAGCUAAAUACUGGCGAGAGACCGAUAGCGAACAAGUACCGUGAGGGAAAGAUGAAAAGAACUUUGAAAAGAGAGUUAAACAGUACGUGAAAUUGUCAAAAGGGAAGCGUUUGACACCAGUGUUGUUUUCUCGAAAAUCAAUUAAAAAUGGUGGGAUUUUGUGUUGUAUUGACUUUAUCAGCUUUCUGCACUUUUUUCCUGUCUUUUUUAAUGCACUUUUCGUUUAACAAGUCAACAUCAAUUUCUUUUGUUGUAAAAGGGUCAUUGGAAGGUGGCUUUCUUUUCGGAGAAAGUGUUUAUAGCCUUUGCCUCUGCAAUCGGAGAGAUUGAGGUCUGCAGCGUAGAUCCUUCGGGGUUAGAUACAUUUGUGCUAAGUUAUAGCCUUUCAUAGACAACUUGUUGACUAUGAUCAGUCAUGUAGCUUACUCGCUUAUGUUAUUUUACCUACGCUUAGGAUGUUGACGAUCAGCUGAGCGCG